rnacentral:lncRNA from 1 species
UCCUUUUACUCUCUCCAGUUGAACUACCUAGAGAAAACCAUUUUAAAUCACAAUUUCAGAAGAUUUUAAAAAUUCAACUCUACCUAAAGACAUCACAAAAUGGCUCAUUAUUCCAUCAUCCAGGUCAUAUCGUCUAAUAACAGAAAUCAGAGAGAAGUACCAGGAUCAUAAUUACAGAGAGAAGUUUGACCAAAUCUCUUUUUGUAAAAAUGUUAAAUAUAAAUACAUAUCUUCUAUGUUUUUGUCCUAAACCUAAAUACUAAAUAUUUACUGGGAAGUCUCUUAAUCUGUGAAAGACUGCAUUCAAUUACAUUAAAUAAAAUAUGGGAAUUGCUAAAUUUUAAAUUCAGUAUUCCCUAUGAAAAACUAAACUUAGGAAAAGUAAAUUUUUUAUGAAUUUUGCCACAACUGCCCAUUUGGGGAAUAAAAAUCAGAACUCUGAAAUUUUAGCUUUAAAAACCAAUAUUGUCUUUGAAAGCUAAUGAUCAAGUGAUCAUUUUGUUUUCUAGCCAUUUAAUAAUAACCUUGGCUUUCUUUUUCGGGUUCAUAUGCCUUGCACAAUCUUUGACCAAAACCAAAAUUCUCACCUACUUUCUAUGUAAUAAAUCAUUAGGAAUUAUGAAAAAGAGAGAAAAGAAUUAACGUUAUCCAAGUUUAUAACUAUUGGAUGGGCAUUCUGCCAGACACUUUAUGCUUCUUAUCAUAUUAAUGCUCCAGUAUUAUAUACGAUAGAAAAUAAAAGUUAAUCUAGUAAUAUAUA